UACGUAGGUCGCAAGCGUUGUCCGGAAUUAUUGGGCGUAAAGAGCUCGUAGGCGGUUCGUCGCGUCUGCUGUGAAAACCUAAGGCUCAACCUUGGGCUUGCAGUGGGUACGGGCAGACUAGAGUGCGGUAGGGGUGACUGGAAUUCCUGGUGUAGCGGUGGAAUGCGCAGAUAUCAGGAGGAACACCGAUGGCGAAGGCAGGUCACUGGGCCGCAACUGACGCUGAGGCGCGAAAGCGUGGGGAGCAAACAGG
rnacentral:rRNA from 1 species